CCUCCAUAAGACUGGGCUGUAGGCAAGCCUGCAGAGCAGUUUCUUAAUUUGUGACUGAGACAGGAAAGCCAAGCCCACUACAGGUGGUGUUACCCCUGGGCUGGUGGUCCCUGGUUCGCUAAGAAAGCAAGCGGAGCAAGCCAUGAGGAGCAAGCCAGUAAGUAGCUUUCCUCCACGGUCUUUGCAUCAGCUCCUGCCUCCAGGAUUCUGCCCUGCUUAAGUUUCAAUCCUGACUUCCCUUUGAUGUGGAAGCCUAAGUCAAAUAAACCCUCUCUCCUCCCCAAAUUUCUUUGGUUAUGGUUUUCAUCACAGCAAUAGCAAUCCUAAGACAAAGGGAACUGACGACCAGUCAUGCACCAGCACAACGCUAACGUCAUUACGCACUAACGGCCAGCAGAGGGCGGGUACCCCAGUCUCAAACUUUCCAUGGCUCCCAUUCAGGCUCAGUAGUUCUUGGAUUGGGUAUUUCUACUUCAAUUCCUGGUCAGAAGCAAGGAAAUCCAGCGAUUUUACUGAGGGUCUGGUAAUGUCAAAAGUGAGUGAAAAGUUCUGAGAGCCUCGUUUCCAAAACAGUAUUCGGUUUGUUGCUGCCUGACGUUUCUGUCCCACGCACAGAAGAUACAGAUGGGCAUCAACACAGAUGGUCCUUCCUUUUCCAGGCUCCCGUGGCUACCUUCAACGGUCGUCGUCGCUUUGGAGGAUUCGUCUUGGAACGGGGGCCUGCCUAUGUUUUGUGAGCUCUGUCCCUGGAGAGUCCUGCCAUGACUCUGCCAAGCAGGAGAAGGGUCUGGGGUCUCCAGAACCCUUAAGGAAAGUCGUUUGCACAGAAGAUAAGCAUUUUCUGUGAGUCGUGAGUACUGGAGGUGAGGAAGACUUGAGGCACAGGCCAAAAGAAAGGUUCCCUGGUUCAGUCAUCAUCUUCCUGCCUGAAGAGAAGAGCCACACCCACUGGAGCCAGGAGAGAGCCACCUCACUCUACAGUGUCCUUGAAGGGGCCACCAGACAACAGAGGGCCCAGUCCAGAGGAGGCCAAGGACUCCAGGCAGAAGGGGUCUGGGCAGAGUUCGGGAGGCUCCUCCUGCAGAAGCCACCAAGGAAGAGGCCGCCCCAAAGAGAAGAGGAGGAGGGCAAGGCAACCUCGCUCCAGAGAGAGAGGCAGAGACAAGGCUGAGUCUAGCCUAGGCAAACAC